rnacentral:rRNA from 1 species
AGUGAACGCUGGCGGUAGGCCUAACACAUGCAAGUCGAACGGCAGCACAGUAAGAGCUUGCUCUUACGGGUGGCGAGUGGCGGACGGGUGAGGAAUACAUCGGAAUCUACUUUUUCGUGGGGGAUAACGUAGGGAAACUUACGCUAAUACCGCAUACGACCUACGGGUGAAAGCAGGGGAUCUUCGGACCUUGCGCGAAUGAAUGAGCCGAUGUCGGAUUAGCUAGUUGGCGGGGUAAAGGCCCACCAAGGCGACGAUCCGUAGCUGGUCUGAGAGGGUGAUCAGCCACACUGGAACUGAGACACGGUCCAGACUCCUACGGGAGGCAGCAGUGGGGAAUAUUGGACAAUGGGCGCAAGCCUGAUCCAGCCAUACCGCGUGGGUGAAGAAGGCCUUCGGGUUGUAAAGCCCUUUUGUUGGGAAAGAAAAGCAGCAGGUUAAUACCCCGCUGUUCUGACGGUACCCAAAGAAUAAGCACCGGCUAACUUCGUG